CACCACCCAAACAUGAUGAUAUGGCAAAAUGUUGCUAAACCCUAUGUAAUCUACAGUGUGGCUACUACAUAAACAUCUUGUACAAUGUGAUCUGGUGCAUGGUUUUGUUUUCAUCAUGUGUAGAGUGGGAGGAUUAGACCAAGUAAGUGAAUCCUGACAUAGGAUGCUCAGGUCAUCAUCAUCAAUAUUACCUGGGAAUUCAGAAAUGCCAAUUUUCAGGUAUCGUCCUAGACCCAGCAAACCAGCCUGCAGGUGUCCUGGAGACAUACAUUGGUGUUAAUAUCAUCUGAAGAGUGGCUGAAUGAGAAAGCCUCUUGUCUGAGAGAAUGCUGUUGUAGUGCAUGUUCUGGGACUAUUUGCCCACCUUGAGCACUGCUGAAGGAGGAGCACUGAAGGAUAAAGUCUGUGGACUGUCUAAUGGAGAAAAGCGAAUGGUCCCAUAGCAACAAGAGCAGCAAUCCACGCAGGUGGAUGGAUGGGGGUGGGGGUGGACAUCUGUAUGUACAGUGGCAUUCUGAAGCACUCUGAAGAAACCCCCAUGCAGGCCGAGGCAAAAAAAAAUGUGAUUUUUAAAAAGUACUUCAAUUACAUCAUAAAUUAGCUCAACCUUUCUACAAGAUGAGAAAUUCCCUAGGUGCUUGUUAAAUGCAUUUGGUUCUCCACCUGGACUCAAGGUAUGACCCCAUGGUUUUACCCCCACUGCCUCUGCAGCAUCAGUGUAUGCCAAUCUUAGUAAAAAAAAAAAAACCCACAACAUUGCAGCAUUCUUAUGAAAAUAUGGUGAACUUGUAAAUUUUCUAAAACAAUUUCAUCAGUGACCCCAGGGUUACAUUUUGAGAACCGCUAGUUCUGAAGAUUGUUUUUAAUUUUGCAAUUGCACAAUCAACAUUGAUAUUAUUCAGCAAAUAUUCAACCACAAACAACAUUCUCUCAGUCAGAUUUAAAGAGGUAGAUGCCGCACUCUAUCGAACAACUAUAUCUGCUAAAUUCUUUUAAAAUUAAAACUAUGGACCUUGAAAUGUUUUUUCUUCAGUGUCCACGAUUAGGCAUUUAGUUUUCACAAUAGUGUAAGCAAUCUGUUCUUUGAAGUAAAAGUAUUAACAGCUGCUGAGGUGGCUUUGGAAAAUGCAUUGAGGGCUGAGGAGAUGGCUCAGUCACUAAAGUACCUACACAAGCAUGGUUACUAGAAUUAGGAUCCCCAGCACCCAUGUAAAAGGUAGGGUGCAGCUGGCAUAUCUGUGACCCCAGCUGGGGAGGCAGAGGCAGGAAGGUGGAUUCCCUAGGCAGACAGAUGAGUCAAUGAGUUCCCACUUCAGUGAGAGACCCUGUCCAAAAUGUAAGGUGAGGAGUAAUUGAGGAAGAUAUCUAACCUUGACCUCUGGUCUCUACAUACCUAUGCAUACAUAUUUAUACACAGACAUGGACAGACUUGCACACAAAAGCUGUAGGCACAACGUUAUUGUGCACUGUGUCAAGAUUAUCCUUGUAUUAUUCAAAUGCUGAUUUCAGGGCUCCUGUUGCAAUCCUUAUUCUAAGAAUCUCUUGAGUGAAUAUUCUGUAAUUGGCCAGCUAAUGACUGAGCAGGGGAGAGAAUAGGGCUGGACUACUCCCAACCAGGGGAAGGGGAGGGAGGAAAAGAAAGUGGGGAUUCAGCCAUGAGGAGAGGGUCUAGGAGGCAUCAUAAAAAAAUGGCUGGAGCAGGGAAAGCCAUGAAAUGCCAAGUAUCUUGGGGAUUUGGGCUGGGAGGUAGCCAGAUUAGCCAUAGAAGAUUAAAAUAGAUUACUAUUGCUCAGUUGUUAUACCUUAAAGCUGUUAAAUAAAUAAAAUAGUCUUGUCUCAAUUAUUUGGAAACUAGUCAAUGAGAAAACUGCAACAUUUAUAAAUUUGCAUUAACAAAAACAAAAACAUUGUGUUAAUAAGAUUGUUUCACAAUAUUAAUAAACAAAUUUUCACCUAAAGAGAAUUCUAUAUUCCAUAAUUUGAUAACUAUAAUUUUACCUUGGAUCUGUAUUUGAACAUUGUAUUAUUAUAGACUUAAACUUUUUCUGAAGUUCUUAAUAAACUA
ensembl:lncRNA